rnacentral:rRNA from 1 species
AAUAUUGGUCAAUGGCCGCAAGGCUGAACCAGCCAUGUCGCGUGAAGGAUGACGGCCCUAUGGGUUGUAAACUUCUUUUAUAUGGGAAGAAAAGUAGUUACGUGUAACUAUCUGCCGGUACCAUAUGAAUAAGGAUCGGCUAACUCCGUGCCAGCAGCCGCGGUAAUACGGAGGAUCCAAGCGUUAUCCGGAUUUAUUGGGUUUAAAGGGUGCGUAGGCGGCUCUAUAAGUCAGUAGUGAAAUCUCGAGGCUCAACCUCGAACGUGCUAUUGAAACUGUAGAGCUUGAGUACAGACGAGGCAGGCGGAAUGUGUUAUGUAGCGGUGAAAUGCAUAGAUAUAACACAGAACACCGAUAGCGAAGGCAGCUUGCCAGACUGUAACUGACGCUGAUGCACGAAAGCGUGGGUAGCGAACAGGAUUAGAUACCCUGGUAGUCCACGCCGUA